rnacentral:rRNA from 1 species
GACGUAGGGCGCGAGCGUUGUCCGGAUUUAUUGGGCGUAAAGAGCUCGUAGGCGGCUUGUCGCGUCGUUCGUGAAAACCCGGGGCUCAACUCCGGGCUUGCGGGCGAUACGGGCAGGCUAGAGUUCGGUAGGGGAGACUGGAAUUCCUGGUGUAGCGGUGAAAUGCGCAGAUAUCAGGAGGAACACCAGUGGCGAAGGCGGCUCACUGGACCGGUUCUGACGCUGAGGCGCGAAAGCGUGGGGAGCAAACGGG